rnacentral:lncRNA from 1 species
GAGGGGUUAGACAAUGGUGUGCAAAUAGUAUACAAAGGGUAGAAAGGGUGUUGAAAGGAUGUAGAAGGUGUAGAAUGGGUGUUCAAAGUGUUUACAAAAAGUGUAGAAGGGUGUACAAGAGGUGUACAAAGGUUGUACAAAGGAUUUACAAAUAAGUAUAAAAAUGUAGAAAAGGUCUAUAAAGGGUGUAAAAAGGGUGUACAAAUGGUGUACACCCAUCCUACACCCUUCUACAAAAUAUGUAGAAUGGUUGUGGAAGGGUAUACAAAAGGUAUAAAAAAGGUGUAGAAAUGGUGUGUGAAGUGUGUACAAAGGGUUUACACCAAUUCUAACUCUUUCUAAAAAAUAUUUAGAACAUUGUAGAAUGGUCUACAACAGGUAUACAAAGGGUGACGAAAGGAUUUAGAAAGGGUGUAAAAAAAUUAAGAAGGAUUUAGAAAGGGUGUACAAAGUGUGUACAAGGGGUGUAUAAAGGGUGUACAAAGUGUAUAUAAGGAGUAUAUAAAGGGUGUAUAAAGGGUAUACAAAGGGUGUACACUUAUUCUACAUCUUUCUACAAAAUAUGUAGAUAUGUUGAAGCAUGUGUACAAAGGAUAUACGAAGGGUGUAUAAAGGGUGUUGAAAGGAUAUAGAAAAUGUGUAAAAAGAUGAAGAAUAAUGUACAAAAUAAGUACAAGGGUUUGUAUAAAGGGUGUAGAAAAGGUGUACAAAGAGUCUACACCCAUUGUACAUCUUUCUAAAAAUUAUGUAGAAAUUAUGCAGAAGGAUGUAAAAAGGAUAUAGAAAGGAUGUAGAAAAUAUAUAGAAAGGGUGUUAAAAGGGUUUAGAAAUGGUGUAAAAAGAUGAAGAAAGAUGUAUAAAGGAUAUCCAAAGUGUUUACAAAGUGUGUACAAAGGGUGUAAGAAGGGUUUACAAAGGGUACACAUGCAUUCUACAUCAUUCUAAAAAAAAUGUAGAAAAUUUGUAGAAGAGUGUACAAAGGGCAUAGAAAAGGUGUAGAAAGGAUGUAGUAAGGAUGUUGAAAGGGUGUUGAAAGGGGGUAGGAAUGAUGUACAUAGUGUGUACAAAGAGUGUAAAAGUGUGUACAAAAGGUGUACAAAAGUUGUACAAAGGAUUUACUAAGAAAUUUAAAAAGGUAGUAAUAUUGUACAAGGAUGUACAAAGGGUAU